rnacentral:rRNA from 1 species
UACCAGCACCCCGAGUGGUCGGGACGUUUAUUGGGCCUAAAGCAUCCGUAGCCGGUUCUACAAGUCUUCCGUUAAAUCCAGCUGCUUAACAGAUGGGCUGCGGAAGAUACUAUGGAGCUAGGAGGCGGGAGAGGCAAGCGGUACUCGAUGGGUAGGGGUAAAAUCCGUUGAUCCAUUGAAGACCGCCAGUGGCGAAGGCGGCUUGCCAGAACGCGCUCGACGGUGAGGGAUGAAAGCUGGGGGAGCAAACCGG